rnacentral:rRNA from 1 species
GAUGAACGCUGGCGGCGUGCCUAAUACAUGCAAGUCGAGCGAACAGAUGAGGAGCUUGCUCCUCUGACGUUAGCGGCGGACGGGUGAGUAACACGUGGAUAACCUACCUAUAAGACUGGGAUAACUUCGGGAAACCGGAGCUAAUACCGGAUAAUAUAUUGAACCGCAUGGUUCAAUAGUGAAAGACGGUUUUGCUGUCACUACUAGAUGGAUCCGCGCCGCAUUAGCUAGUUGGUAAGGUAACGGCUUACCAAGGCAACGAUGCGUAGCCGACCUGAGAGGGUGAUCGGCCACACUGGAACUGAGACACGGUCCAGACUCCUACGGGAGGCAGCAGUAGGGAAUCUUCCGCAAUGGGCGAAAGCCUGACGGAGCAACGCCGCGUGAGUGAUGAAGGUGUUCGGAUCGUAAAACUCUGUUAUUAGGGAAGGACAGAUGUGUAAGUAACUAUGCACGUCUUGACGGUACCUAGUCAGAAAGCCACGGCUAACUACGUG